ACGGUUAUAAAUCAACAUCUUGAUUUAUAAGUAUGGAAAUCCCCUGAGUGAAACAACGAAUUGCUGUGUGUAGUCUUUGCCCAUCUCCCACGAUGGGCUUUUUUUUAA
rnacentral:other from 1 species